GACGGGUGAGUAAUGUCUGGGAAACUGCCUGAUGGAGGGGGAUUACUACUGGAAACGGUAGCUAAUACCGCAUAACGUCGCAAGACCAAAGAGGGGGACCUUCGGGCCUCUUGCCAUCAGAUGUGCCCAGAUGGGAUUAGCUAGUAGGUGGGGUAACGGCUCACCUAGGCGACGAUCCCUAGCUGGUCUGAGAGGAUGACCAGCCACACUGGAACUGAGACACGGUCCAGACUCCUACGGGAGGCAGCAUG
rnacentral:rRNA from 1 species